rnacentral:tRNA from 1 species
GCAUGGGUGGUUCAGUGGUAGAAUUCUCCUCUUCUGUGUGAGAGACGCGGGUUCGAUUCCAGCCCGUGCA